rnacentral:rRNA from 1 species
UACGUAGGGUGCAAGCGUUGUCCGGAAUUAUUGGGCGUAAAGAGCUCGUAGGCGGUCUGUUGCGUCGGCUGUGAAAACCCGGGGCUCAACCCCGGGCCUGCAGCCGAUACGGGCAGACUAGAGGUCGGCAGGGGAGACUGGAAUUCCUGGUGUAGCGGUGAAAUGCGCAGAUAUCAGGAGGAACACCGGUGGCGAAGGCGGGUCUCUGGGGCGUAACUGACGCUGAGGAGCGAAAGCGUGGGGAGCGAACAGG